AAAAAGUUUUGAAGUUCAGAUUUUUUCGUUUGAAUCACUUUUUUUUUUGAAGCUCAAAAAGUUUUGAAGUUCAAAUUUUUUCGAUUGAAUCAUUUUGGAACAAACGUACCGUGGUGGGCGGGUGCUUCUCUAUUGGUCAGACAUGUUUGAUUGACAAGUGUCUACACCAACGACGUCUUUCUGACAAAGAAGUCUUGUUCGGCACUCCCCAGGCCAGACAGCUUUUUACCAGCAAGAGGGAACAGCGGUGAAGUUGUCGCAUUGGAAGCAAAGUUGUACUACUUUGUAGCAAAAAUGAUUACAGUCUGUGUUGUCCGUGGAGGAGUUGCCCACCAUUUUUUCUCAGAAGGGCUGUUUCAGCAAUUUGCGGGCUUCCAAAGGCCCCUUUCAGACCAGAAGUUCUGCAUGAUCACAAACUCCGGGAGCAGCUAAUCAAGGUUUUUGUAGAAAUUUUCUUGUACAUUAGAUGUGCUUUAGA